UAAGUAGCCAUAUAUGACGAUGUCUCACGGUGAGACAGUUUCUAUCGAAAAAUACUUUCUCAACGCUUUGCCUAUAUAAUGGUUACCGUGAUUAUAGACAGUUAUGCCUCAUUUUUCUUUUGUUUCUUUUCCGGGGUUCCGUAUCAAAAAUAAACCGACAGCAGGGGCGAGGUAGCCGGGCCAGGCGAUAAACUGGGGGGCUGCAGCCGCCAGAGCAACACAGCAGAGGAAGAAGAACACCUAUGAUACGAUUAUAAGUUAUUGUAUUUUGUACCAGAAAUUUUGCUCUGUGACGUAAUAUAUUAUGUAUGUUUCAUUUGCGUUCGUUGUUAUUAUUAUUGUUAAAAUAAAAUUGAGUACAGAUUAAUUUAACCUAUAAAUCACCGUAUUAAAUCACAGGAAAAAAAUUGUUAUAAAAAAUGUCCAACGCUAUUUGUAUUUUUUUUUAAAUCGCCAACUAACUUAUCGCCUAAAACAACACUCAUAAAUUCGUAUGAGAUUCAACAACAAUUUUGAAUAAAAAAAAAAAACAUUUUAACAAAAAUGGAAUUUAAAGAUAUAAUAAUCAUUAUUUUCUAAAAAUUUACCCUUUAAGAAAAUCUAUUUAAAUUAGGGCAACUAAUAGCA
rnacentral:misc_RNA from 1 species